rnacentral:rRNA from 1 species
CAAGGUUUCCGUAGGUGAACCUGCGGAAGGAUCAUUAUCGAGUUUUGAACGGGGUUGUAGCUGGUCUCUCAAUCUAAGGGACAUGUGCACGCCUCACUCAUCCACUCUCAAACCCCUGUGAACUUAUUGUAGGUCGGUGAAAGGCUUGGUUUUAAUUAGCUAAGUUGGAAACCUUCCUAUGUUUUUACUACAAACGCUUCAGUUAUAGAAUGUCAUACGCGUAUAACGCAUUUAUAUACAACUUUCAGCAACGGAUCUCUUGGCUCUCGCAUCGAUGAAGAACGCAGUGAAAUGCGAUAAGUAAUGUGAAUUGCAGAAUUCAGUGAAUCAUCGAAUCUUUGAACGCACCUUGCGCUCCCUGGUAUUCCGGGGAGCAUGCCUGUUUGAGUAUCAUGGAAUUCUCAACCUUCAAUACUUUUUUUUAAAACGAAAGUGUCGAAGGCUUGGACUUGGAGGCUUGUGCUGGCUCUUUACCGGGUCGGCUCCUCUGAAAUGUAUUAGCGUGAAUCACUAUGGAUCGCUUCGGUGUGAUAAUUAUCUGCGCCGUGGUCGUGAAGUAUUAAUUCAAGUUCGCGCUUCUAAUCGUCCUUCACGGGACAAUUACAUUGAACUUUUGAUCUCAAAUCAGGUAGGACUACCCGCU